AGUUCUUUACUACGAGAGUGGUGAGGUGCUGGAACAGGCUGCCCAGAGAGGUUGUGGAUGCCCCAUCCCCGGAAGUGUUCAAGGUCAGUUUGGGUGGGGCCCUGCGCAUUGUGGUCCAGUAUUAAAUGUGGAGGUUGGUGGCCCUGCCUUGUCAGGGGAUUGGAGCUUGAUGAUCCUUGAGGUCCCUUCCAACCCAAGCCAUUUGAUGAUUCUAUGAUCCUCUCCUGUCCACAGUAGUUCUGUUUCUCUUUCUGAUCUUUCUGCAACUCCUUUCCACCCUCCACAUCCACAGGAUAUGUCCUUUACUCAAGCUCUCUCUUUCUCACCCAUUAUUACCUUUUUAGGACCACCAGAGAUCCCACUACCAGUUAAAAAAGGACCGUAUUUUAGUCAUUCUCCAAAAACACCCAGUGGAAUAAGACAGUUCACAAUAUGAGAAACAAGAAACAAGUAGCUGAGGAGAAGAGGAAGGCAUGUGAAGUGAUUUGUUCAACUAAACCCAGUGGUGAAAGGGAAAUAUAGAGAAAACCAAGAGCUUUUAAACCACCUCUUUCUGUUGUUUCUGUGAUUAGAUACUUCUCCUGCAUUUCAUCCAGGUUUCAAAAAAAAAAAAAAAAAAAAACCACAACAAAACAAAAACAAAAACAAACAAACAAACAAAAAAAAAAAACAGAGAGAGAGAGAGAGGGAGAGAGAGAAAGUUUAGGGAAUCAGUUCAGUUGCUCUGAAAAGGUACAAGUUUUUGCAGAUUUCUUUCCCAAAGGAAAAUAAAAAAAAAAAUGAGACCACUGCACACUAUUAUAGAAUCAUAGAAUCAUAGAAUCAUAGAAUCAUAGAAUCACAAAGGUUGGAAAAGACCCACAGGAUCAUCCAGUCCAACCAUUCACCCAUCACCAAUAGUUCUCACUAAACCAUGUCCCUCAACACAACUUCCAAGUGUUCCUUGAACAUCUCUAGGGUCAAUGACUCCUCCAUCUCCCCGGACAGCCCAUUCCAGUGCCUGACCACCCUUUCAGACAAGUAGUAUUCCUUAGUGUCCAGCCUGAACCUUCCUUGGCGCAGCUUGAAGCCAUUCCCUUUAGUCCUAUCACUAGUCACACGAGAGAAGAGGCCGAUCCCUAGCUCACUACAACCUCCCUUCAGGUAGUUAUAGAGAGCAAUAAGGUCUCCCCUGAGCCUCCUCUUCUCUAGACUGAACAAUCCCAGCUCCUUCAGCCGCUCCUCCUAAGGCCUGUGAUCCAGACCCCUCACCAGCUUUGUUGCCCUUCUCUGAACACACUCCAGGGCCUCAAUGUCUUUCUUACAGUGAGGGGCCCAAAACUGGGCACAGUACUCAAG
ensembl:lncRNA